rnacentral:lncRNA from 1 species
AUGUGUGGGCAGGCACGCGACUCCUGGCCCUGGCUCCUUCCUGACCCUGGGCUGGGGCCAGUGGGUGUGUUGGGCAAUGGCCGUGGUUUGUCUCGCUUUCCCAGGCGUGCCCCGGUGCUGGGGUUCUGGAGCCAAGGGUGCCUCAGAUGGGGGUGCCUGGGGCUUCCUUCUCGGGGCGGCGGGGGGGGGGGGGGGGNNNNNNNNNNNNNNNNCGAUGUGGAUGCUGCACAGGGCUCCGUGCUGGCCGUCAGCGCAGACCUCUGUGAGCAUCUCUGCAGACGUGCCUGUUUCGGCCAGAAAGUGUGUGUGUCUGUCUGUCCACACGUGUGUCCCAGUGUGUCCUUGUGCAUCUGUCUGCAGCCGUACGUGCAUCUGAUUUCAUCUGAACAUCAGCGGUGUGCCUGGCUCCAUUUCUGCACGCGUCCCACGUACACGUGGCUGGAGGCAUCUGCAUGUUUGCACACACGUGGACGUGGCUGGUGCUGGUGUCUGUAUCUCUGCUCUCGUCUGUGGCGGGGCAGUGUCUGUGUGUCCACGUGUGCCGGUGUGUGCAUCUGCAUCCGGUGUUUUCGUGUUUACAUGUGUGUCCUUGUGCGCCCUCCUGUCUACCUUCCUUCUCUCGACCCACAUCCUCUCAGGCCUUCCUGCCUCUCCCUAGUCUCGGGAGGCCCAGCUUCCUGCGGUCUCCAGGGGACUGCUGGGCUGUGCUGGGCGCCCCCCUCUACCCCUCCACCGUCGCCCUCCACCCCAGCGGCCUCAGCCUCCCCGGUCUCCCUCCUACCGCUCUGUCCACUCCUCCUCUGUCUGCAGCCUGAAGAAAGUCUGGCCUGGCUUUCUGCCCCUCUGUCCUGGCUGUCCGCCGUGACACAGAGACAUCAAUACCCCCGCCAUACACACACACACACACACACACACACACACACACACACACACACACACACCAGCUCCAUCCUCCACAGCGUGGCCCUUGCUGCUUCCCAGGCUCCUAAUUCAGCCCACAGUUGGCCUCACCUGUGCUUCCCAGGCUUCCUGCUGGUGUCCGUGUCGUCUGGCUGCACAAGUGAAUUUUCCCUAGCCAAGUCUUAG